rnacentral:rRNA from 1 species
UACAGAGGUCUCAAGCGUUGUUCGGAAUUACUGGGCGUAAAGGGCUCGUAGGCGGCCAACUAAGUCAGACGUGAAAUCCCCUCGGCUUAACCGGGGAACUGCGUCUGAUACUGGAUGGCUUGAGUUUGGGAGAGGGAUGCGGAAUUCCAGGUGUAGCGGUGAAAUGCGUAGAUAUCUGGAGGAACACCGGUGGCGAAGGCGGCAUCCUGGACCAACACUGACGCUGAGGAGCGAAAGCCAGGGGAGCAAACGGG